GUGCCAGCAGCCGCGGUAAUACCGGCAGCCCGAGUGAUGGCCGAUCUUAUUGGGCCUAAAGCGUCCGUAGCUGGCUGCGCAAGUCCGUCGGGAAAUCCACUCGCCCAACGAGUGGGCGUCCAGUGAAACCUGCAAGGCUUGGGACCGGAAGACCCGACGGGUACGUCCAGGGUAGGAGUGAAAUCCUGUAAUCCUGGACGGACCGCCGAUGGCGAAAGCACUUCGAGAAAACGGAUCCGACAGUGAGGGACGAAAGCCAGGGUCUCCAACCGCAUUAGAAACCCUUGUAGUCC
rnacentral:rRNA from 1 species